GAAGGAUUAGUUAACUAUUAUAACAUCAGAAUGUCAAACUGAAAUUAUCAAAAAGAUAUCCUUCU
rnacentral:tRNA from 1 species